rnacentral:rRNA from 1 species
CCUACGGGUGGCAGCAGUGGGGAAUAUUGGACAAUGGUGGGAACACUGAUCCAGCGACGCCGCGUGAGGGAAGAAGUAUUUCGGUAUGUAAAGCUCUAUCAGCCGGGGAGAAAAUGACGGUACCUGACUAAGAAGCCCCGGCUAACUACGUGCCAGCAGCCCCGGCAAUACGUCAGGGGCAAGCGUUAUCCGGAUUUACUGGGGGGAAAGGGAGCUUAGUCGGUGCAGCAAGUCCGCUGUGAAAGGGCGGGGGCCAAACCCGGGACUGCAUUGGAAACUGUGGAACUGGAGUAGAGGAGAGGUAGGCGGAAUGCCUGGUGUAGCGGUGAAAUGCGGAGAUAUCAGGAGGAACACCAGUGGCGAAGGCGGCUUACUGGACUGUAACUGACGUUGAGGCACGAAAGCGUGGGGAGCAAACAGGAUGAGAUACCCGAGUAGUC